GACGUAGGGGGCCAGCGUUGCUCGGAAUUACUGGGUGUAAAGGGUUCGUAGGCGGUGUGGCAAGUCGGGAGUGAAAUCUCUGGGCUCAACCCAGAGUCUGCUUCCGAAACUGCUGUGCUUGAGUGUGGGAGAGGCGCGUGGAAUUGCAGGUGUAGCGGUGAAAUGCGCAGAGAUCGGGAGGAACACCCGUAGCGAAGGCGG
rnacentral:rRNA from 1 species